UACAGAGGUCUCAAGCGUUUGUCCGGAAUUAUUGGGCGUAAAGAGCUCGUAGGCGGCUUGUCACGUCGGGUGUGAAAUCUCGGGGCUUAACUCCGAAACUGCAUUCGAUACUGCCGUGCUUGAGGACUGGAGAGGAGACUGGAAUUUACGGUGUAGCGGUGAAAUGCGUAGAUAUCGGGAGGAACACCAGUGGCGAAGGCGACUACCUGGCCUGUUCUUGACGCUGAGGCGCGAAAGCUAGGGGAGCAAACGGGG
rnacentral:rRNA from 1 species